rnacentral:rRNA from 1 species
GCAAUCGGCCAUAGGAACAAGAAAGCAGAACUUCCCGUCCGCUCAGUUGUACUUAAGCUUGUUGCCGGCUAGUUAGUAGUAACGUGGGUGACCAGUUGCGAAUCCUGGCUGCUGAUUGUU